rnacentral:lncRNA from 1 species
UUUUUUAUUUUUUAUUUUUUUAUUUUUAGGGGCGCACCUGCAGCAUAUGGAAAUUCCCAGGCUAGGGGUCAAAUUAGAACCACAGCUGCCGGUCUAUGCCUCAGCCAUAGCAAUGCCAGAUCUGAGCCAUCUCUGUGACCUACACCACAGCUCACAGCAACACUGGAUACUUAACCCACUGAGCUAGGCCACGUAUUGAACUCAUGCCACAUUGGGAACUCCUGGGUUGUAUUUUUGAUCAGCUCUGACAAUCUCUGUUUUUUAACUGGUGUAUUUAAACCAUUGAUAUUCCAAGUGAUUAUUGAUAUAGUUGGAUUAAUAUUUACUGUUUUGUUAGUGUUUUCUUCUUGUUUUCUGUUCUUACUUUUGUUUUCCAUUCUUUUUCUGCCUUUUGCGAUUUUUAAAUGAGCAUUUUAUUUUUAUUUUUAUUUAUUUUUUGUCUCUGUCUUCUCAGGGCCGCACUCACAGCACAUGGAGGUUCCCAGUCUAGGGGUCUAAUUGGAGCUGUUGCCACCGGCCUAUGCCACAGCCACAGCAACGUGGGAUCCGAGUCAUGUCUACAACCUACACCACAGCUCACGGCAAUGCUGGAUCCUUAACCCACUGAGCGAGGCCAGGGAUCGAACCCACAACCUCAUGGUUCCUGGUCGGAUUUGUUUUGGUUGUGCCAGGAUGGGAACUCCAUAAUGAGCAUUUUAUAUCUUUCCAUUUUUUUUCCUUUCUUAGUGUAUCAGUUAUACAUUUUUUAAAAAACUUUUUAAACUGGUUUCCCUAGAGUUUGCAAUAUACCUUUACAACUAAUUCGAUUCAAUUUCAAAUAACACUCAAUAACAAAAUAAUCCCAGUUGCACCCUCCUGUCUCUUGUAUCUUUGCUGUUACUCAUUUCACUUAUAUGUAAGCAUAAGUAAACAAAGAACUGAAUAUAGUUUUGCUGUUAUUAUUUUAAAUAAACUUACAUAUUAGCUCAGUUAGAAAUCAGAAAAAGGAAGGUUUUUAUUUUCUCUCUGCGCGUCCUGUCUCCAGCCCACGUCCCUUCUUGAUGCAGGUCCACAUGUCCGACCUCUGUCAUUUUCCUUCUCUCUGAAGAGCUUCUUUCACCAGGUCUUGCGAGGCAGCCCUGCUGCCAACGAAUGUCCCCAGUUUCCAUUUGUCUGAGAACAUCUUUAUUUCUCCUUCGGUUUUGAAAGGUAUUUCGCAAGAUCAGAAUUUUAGUCUGUUUUUUGUCUCUCAACCCUGGAAGUAUCUCACUCCCUCCUCUUCUGGCUGGCAUCACUUCUGAGACGUCAAAUGUAGCUCUUACCUUUGCUCCUCUAUAGGUAAAGUGUCCAUACCGCCCCCCAUCCCCGGCUUUUUUCAAGAUUUUUUUUUUUAGCUCUGACUUUCUGGCAUUUGAAUAUGAUAUGCUUAGGUGUAGUUUUUUUGUCUUUUGUGGUUUUUUUUGACUUAGCAUCCUGUGAGCUUUCUGAAUCUGUGGUUUGGUGUCUGACAUUAAUUGGGGGGAAAUUAUCAGGCAUUAUUGCUGUAAGUAUUGCUUCUGAUUUCUUCUGGUAUCCCUAUUAUUUACCUGUUACACCUUUUGUAAGUUCUCCAAAGUGCUUGGGUAUUCUGGGGUUUUUUUUCCCCCCAAUCUUUUUCCUUUGUCCUCAGUUUUGUAAGUUUCUAUUUUAUUUAUUUAUUUGGUCUUUUGAGGGCCACACCCAUGGCAUAUGCAAGUUCCCAGGCUAGGGGUCUAAUUGGAGCUUUAGCUGCUGGCCUACAGCACAGCCACAGCAACGCCAGAUCUGAGCCACCUCUUCGACCUACGCCAUAGCUCAUGGCAACGCCGGAUCGUUAACCCACUGAGCGAGGCCAGGGAUCAAACCUGUGUCCUCGUGGAUGCUAGUCAGAUGGUUCCCAGUGAGCCAUGAUGGGAACUCUGUAAGUUUCUAUCAUAAUAACCUCAAGUUAAGAGAUUCUUUCUUCCAUUGUAUCGGGUCUACUAAUGAGCCCAUCAAAGGCUUUCUUCAUUUCUUAGAGUGUUUUUGAUCUCGAGCGUUUUUUCUGAUCCUUUGUUGGAAUUCCUCUCUCUCUGCUUACAUUGUCUUCUUCUGCCAUUGAAACCUUUAGCACACGAGUCACAGUUUUUCUAAAUUCCUAGGCGGAUAAUUCCAACUUUUCUGCCGUGUAGGACUCCGUUUCUGAUGCUUGUUCUGUCUCUUCAAACUGUGAUUUUUGCCUUUUAGAACGCCCCGUUAUUUUUGUUGACAGCCGCACACACCGUACUGGGUAAAAGGAGUGACAGUGAGUAGACCUUUGCUGACGUGGUGGUGACAGGCGGGUGGAGGAAAGUGCUCGGUGAGGUCUCCGUCUUUUGGGGACCCCGUGCCUCUGAACCGAGGACUUCACCCCCUUCUCAUUCCUUCCCUGGCUGGCCGGAGGGGGCUGGAGGUGUGUGUUUUUCCUCUCCACGUGGAAGGCUGGAGGUAGUGACGUCCCCCCAACCCCAGGUAGGUUAGGCUUAGGUGGAAUGGUUUCUUCUGAAGGCCACUUGUAAAGCCCCGAGUGCUGGGUGUAUUUCACAGUGUCCCCCCACCCCCACCCCGCAGAAGCAUCAGGGAUUUUUCUCCGUUCUUCGUUGUGGGGAGCAGGUGGAGCUCUCAGAGACGGCCGUCACGGAACUCUGAGGACACCCUGACACUGGGUAACUGGGUCCCCCUCCAGCUUUUCCCUGUUGGAGCCACCCCCACUGAGCCCCCCGCAAUUCAUCAUUCCCCGUUUAGCUUUUCCUACUUCAGCCCUGGUUCCCUUGGGAGUGUGUGCUUCUGACUUUCUGUUCAGGCAAGUUGUGAAUUUCUGUGUUUGCCUGUCUGUGUCUCCACUUUGGAGGGCAGUGGUUUUCCCUGUGUCCUCACCUUUCUGCUGGAUUGAAGAGUUGUUGGUUAGUUAGUUUGCUUAGCUUUUUUUUACUUGUCGUUAGGAUGGAGUGGUGACUUUUCAGCUUCUUAUGUGCUGGAUCUGAAACCCUAAACUAUUUUUUAAAAACUUAAGGGAGUUCUCGUCGUGGCGCAUGGUUAAUAAAUCCGACGAGGAACCAUGAGGUUGCGGGCUCGAUCCCUGGCCUUGUUCAGUGGGUUAAGGAUCUGGCGUUGCCUUAACCUAUGGUGCAGGUUGCAGACACAGCUCGGAUCCCGAGUUGCUGUGGCUCUGGCAUAGGCUGGCAACUACAGCUCUGAUUAGACCCCUAGCGUGGGAACCUCCCUAUGCCGCGGGAGCGGCCCAAGAAAUGGCAAAAAGACAAAAACAAACAAACAAACAAACAAAAAAACGUAAGUUAUUAUGGCAUCUUUAUAGAGCAUCAAAGAUUUUCCAAAAUAUAAUUUACAAUAGUACUCUGUCGUGAGGUAUCACAUAUUUAAUAACUUAUUCCUUUUAAUUGGACAUUUAUGGUUUUAUUUUCAAUUUUGACUUCACUUUUACUUUCUCUUCUUUUGCCAUUAUAAAUAAGGAAGGAUGGACCUCCUUCUAGCUAAAUCCUUUUUUUUUGGCUGCACCUAUGGCAUAUGAAAGUUCCCAGGCCAGGGACUGAAUCCAAGUUGCAGAUGCAACCUACCCCCCAGCUAUGGUAAUGCUGCAUCCUUAACCCACUGUGCCAGACUGGGAACCAAACCCACACUUGCCACAGAGACAACCCUGGAUCUUUCACCUGCUACACCACAGUGGGAACUCUGGAGCUAAAGCUUAAUGCGUAUUCAUUUCCUUUCCAUUUGUCAGUGGAAAAUUCCUAGCAAUGCCCGACUGUGGUGUGGUCAUUUUCAUGCUGCAGGAACAUUGAUCAUGGCUUGGGUCUUUCCUAUGUGAAAGUUUAUGGCAGGAAAUGUAAAUGGGGAAAAGAUGAAAGAAGAUUUUAAAUCUUAGCUGGAGAUAAAAACAUAGACAGUUAAAUUUGUAAAAGAAGAUGCUUUAAAAAAAAAAACAGAAUUCUUCUCUAUCAAAGUAGUUCAUGUUGUAAUCCCUUGUAAUUUUGCUUUUCUUUGGAUUUAGGGCACAAAUGUGAGAUUUAAGGUGUGUUCUAAUGAAAAGAUCCAUUUAAGGAAUACCAAUUUAUGCAAAGUAUUGCUAUCUCUAAACCUCACAGUAAUUCCACAAAAUGGGUAUUAAUAGCUACACAGUUUAGGAGAGAAACUCAAUCUCAGAGAGGUUACUUGAUUUCCUGUAGCCAUACAACUAGAAAUGGACAAAUUCAGGAUUCAAGCUCUUGGACUGUCUUCUCUCUGGUUGCCUUUUUAUUUUUCUUUCUUGGGCUGCACCUGCAUCAUAUGGAAAUUCUCAGGCUAGGGUUGAAUUGGAGCUGUAGCUGCAGUCAUACACUGCAGCCAAAGCAACACCAGAUCUGAAUCCCAUCCUCGACCUAUGCUGCAGCCGUGGCAAUUCUGGAUCCUUAACCCACGGAGCAAGGCCAGGGAUAGAACCCACAUCCGCAUGGAUACCAUGUUGAGUUCGUAACCCAUCAAGCCACAAUGGGAACUCCCUGAUUGCUUUUUAUAUGUCACUUUGCUAUUCUCCUAAUAUUUGGUAGCACUUAAGAAUUAGUAUUGAAUGGGGUCCACCACCUAGAACUGGCUUGACUAAGAGAAUCAUUCAAAAUAAAAUAUCUACUGGUGGGUCUUUUCGGAAAGUGAGAGGGUGGACUCCCAGAGCUGAAUAGGAAAGCUAAGUUUGGUCAAGUCCAAAGGAUGAACUCAGUAGCCAAAACAGAGAAAUACUGGCAGCUAAGAGGCCGUAGGAGGAGACCGGGAGAUGGAGCAAGGAGAGGAAGAAGUGGAGAGGGACUCAGAUAGCUGUCAUGAAAGGCGCAAAAUGCCUCCUAAUGAUUCUUAUUGGGUUCUGUGACUUGCUGGUUGCUUGACCUGAUUUAAAGGCACCUGCUAAGUAUUCAAAGGAUGGUGGCAGAGAGGGAGCUCAGAUCCCGGUCUGCAGGACCGGGGAGCCCCCACACCACUGUCAUAGAUAGGCUCUAUUGAGGGCAGACUCACUUGGUUUAUUUCCAAGGAGUUAGACUGGGUCCAUGGAGAAAUGAUGCUGCAUGUACAUGGAACUGGAAGUUGGCUGGGGAGGAGUUGUUUCCCUCGGACUUCAUCCUGUCACUUAGAAGUCAGUAGAGCCAGUGAAGUGGACAGUUGUGUGACGAAUGGGUCGUGAGGGAGAAGGAAGAGAAGACAGGUGUUGAAUGAGAGUAUCCCACUCAAUUGGUAGGGAGAGAAAACCUUUCCAGAGGUGUG